CCGCUCGCUUCGGCAGCAGAUAAACUAAAAUUGGAAUGAUACAGAGAAGAUUAGCAUGGCCCUUCCAUUAG
rnacentral:snRNA from 1 species